UUUUUUUGGGGUGGAAUCUUUACAGUCUUCUUGUUUAAACUGAGUGUGUUAUCUCUAAAUAAUUAUUAACCCCACAACGCGAGCCUUCAAUUCAGGCAAAACCUUCAAACAUAUUUUUUAACUAUCAGACGACGGCUGACAGUCAGAGCUGAUGACCCGGGGGUGUGGUUUGAUAAAGUAAAUGAGUUGCUUUUUGUCACAUGAUUAUUGGUGAUAUAGACUGUGUGAGUGUGUGUGUGUGUGUGUGUGUGCUUAGAUCCCGAAUGAAGGCUUUGUUUUUUAGGGGGUUGUUUUUUAGCACUUCAAAUGGAGUAUCAGCCUAUUUUGGACCAAGAGAAGCGAACCUACGGAAUGGCUAAUCCCAAUUACCCAGCAGCAGAGGGGGGACCCGCUAUGUUCGCCCCACCCGCAGCUGCUUCCCAGGGCCCCAGCGCUCCUCCAGCCAGCAUGUUUGACAGCAUGCCUGGCUAUGAAGGAACAGUGGCAGGAGGAGGAGGUGGAUUUCUGCCCCCUCCGAUGCCUGCUUUCCCAGUUCCUCAGCCUGAAUCUGGACCUCAACAACCAAGUUGGAAUAUCCCAUCUAUAACCGAAGAUACUGCCCGGGAGGCGUUUGUCCUGUUUGCCUCCAGCAAGUGCUGCUACAGUUCAGCACCAGCUAAGGAUGGUGUGAUUACUCGAAUGGAUGCAUUCAAUACAUACAGGUACCGGCUGGAAACAUUUACUGAAUCAAGAUCUACGGAGUGGACUCACGAGCCUUACAGAGGCCAGCCAGUGGAUGCCUUUGCCCAACCACCUCCAGGACCAUGGGACAUUCCUGCUAAGGCCCCCACCUUUUUUGUGGAUGACAAACAGACUAUGAAGGUUCCCUACACAUCGUCAACAAAGCCCUGCCACAUUUGUGUCGGAAUGGGACGCAGACCUUGCAAGGACUGUGCUGGUGCUGGAAACAAAGUUUGUUGGGUGUGCAAUGGCUCUGGAUUCCGCCAUGGAGAUGAUCGAUGCCACCACUGCAGUGGAAGAGGGAGGGAAAAUUGCAGCCAUUGUCAAGGGCAAGGAGCGAUGCAAUGUAACACAUGUCUUGGAAAACAACAGCUUCUGGUCUACAUCAACCUCAGUGUGAAAUGGACCAACAACUCUGAGAACUAUGUUGUAGAACAGUCCAGUGGGCUGCAGGCAGACAAUCUCAGCAAGGUGUCCGGCAAGGAGCUUUUCAGGGACACUCAAUACCUGUUUACUCUGUGCAGGUAUACCCACUGGUAGGCUUCCCAGACCCUACAGUGGUGAAUGCUGCACAGCGCCUUGUCCAUGAUCACCAAGGCAAGUACUCCAGGACGUCUCGCAUUCUACAACAGCGUCAAACAAUAGAGCUGAUCCCUGUUACCAAGGUAACCUACUCGUGGAAAGGGAAAUCUAACAUUUACUUUGUUUACGGGAAUGAGUUCACAGUGAAUGCAGAUAACUAUCCUGCAACCUGUUGCUGUGCUAUUAUGUAAUUGAAAUGGUUAUGUAUGGAAGUGUUUUCCAUUCAAGCCAAUAGAUUUAAAACAACUGUCAGUCAGACUGAGAUAGAGAUCAGUCCUGUUGAUUAAUGAUGAGUUGAUUGACGGUUGAUUUUCAAUAGAGGUUAAAGAGGCAUUUAACCUAUGAACUUUCCACAGGUUAGUAAAACUGAUGAAGCCUCUUAAAUAACUGAUCCUUAAUGCUACACAGGCGUUAAUUAACUUUUCACUCAUUAUUACAAUAUUACUUAUAUUUAGGAAAUCAUUUCCAUUGUUACUUGCCUUUUUUUCAUGCACCACAGAAAAUAAUUGUUUACUGACACCAUUAUAAAACCCUAAAUUAUCAACCCUUUCACUUUAAAAAGGGAGCAAUAAUUUUGUUACAAACAUUAUGAUAGUAAUUGUAAUAUGUUUUUGCAGCAAUACUUGUUAAAUGUUUCUGUAUGUGUUUUAACUUAAUCUGUUUGCUUUCAUUGCAAAAAAAUGUUUCUUUAGGUGACUUACAAAUUGUUUUAAUGUGUAAGACAGUGACACAAAUGUGUAAUACUUGCUUUUCUAUAAUUCAUCAAUCUCAAUAAUUGGUAUUUGCUUUCUUCUUUAUACUGAAUACCUUUAAGUGAUAUCAAUCAAUCAGAAAAAAUAAACAAUAAACAGAAUGCAAGUGAAUACCAUUCAUUCAUACAAAUACAUUAAAGAGAAAUGCAUUUAUUGUGCACAAAUUCA